AUUGAACGCUGGCGGCAGGCCUAACACAUGCAAGUCGAACGGUAACAGGAAGAAGCUUGCUUCUUUGCUGACGAGUGGCGGACGGGUGAGUAAUGUCUGGGAAACUGCCUGAUGGAGGGGGAUAACUACUGGAAACGGUAGCUAAUACCGCAUAACGUCGCAAGACCAAAGAGGGGGACCGUCGGGCCUCUUGCCAUCGGAUGUGCCCAGAUGGGAUUAGCUAGUAGGUGGGGUAACGGCUCACCUAGGCGACGAUCCCUAGCUGGUCUGAGAGGAUGACCAGCCACACUGGAACUGAGACACGGUCCAGACUCCUACGGGAGGCAGCAGUGGGGAAUAUUGCACAAUGGGCGCAAGCCUGGUGCAGCCAUGCCGCGUGUAUGAAGAAGGCCUUCGGGUUGUAAAGUACUUUCAGCGGGGAGGAAGGGAGUAAAGUUAAUACCUUUGCUCAUUGACGUUACCCGCAGAAGAAGCACCGGCUAACUCCGUG
rnacentral:rRNA from 1 species